rnacentral:rRNA from 1 species
GAUGAACGCUAGCGGCAGGCUUAACACAUGCAAGUCGAGGGGUAACAGGAGUAGCUUGCUACUUGCUGACGACCGGCGCACGGGUGCGUAACGCGUAUAGAAUUCUACCUCGUUACUAAGGGAUAGCCCAGAGAAAUUUGGAUUAAUAUCUUAUAGUAUGGUAUGAAUGGCAUCAUUUAUACAUUAAAGGUUACGGUAAGAGAUGACUAUGCGUCCUAUUAGUUUGUUGGUGUGGUAACGGCACACCAAGACUACGAUAGGUAGGGGCCCUGAGAGGGGAUCCCCCACACUGGUACUGAGACACGGACCAG